UGGGGAAUAUUGCACAAUGGGCGAAAGCCUGAUGCAGCGACGCCACGUGAGGGAUGACGGCCUUCGGGUUGUAAACCUCUUUCAGUAGGGACGAAGCGCAAGUUACGGUACCUGCAGAAGAAGCACCGGCUAACUACGUGCCAGCAGCCGCGGUAAUACGUAGGGUGCGAGCGUUGUCCGGAAUUACUGGGCGUAAAGAGCUCGUAGGCGGUUUGUCACGUCGUCUGUGAAAUCCUAGGGCUUAACCCUGGACGUGCAGGCGAUACGGGCUGACUUGAGUACUACAGGGGAGACUGGAAUUUCUGGUGUAGCGGUGGAAUGCACAGAUAUCAGGAAGAACACCGAUGGCGAAGGCAGGUCUCUGGGUAGUAACUGACGCUGAGGAGCGAAAGCAUGGGUAGCGAACAGG
rnacentral:rRNA from 1 species